rnacentral:rRNA from 2 species
CCCUUAGAGUUUGAUCCUGGCUCAGGAUAAACGCUGGCGGCGUGCAUAACACAUGCAAGUCGAACGAUGAAACUUAGAUGAUUUCUUCGGAAUGAACUUAAGCGGAUUAGUGGCGAACGGGUGAGUAACACGUGAGUAACCUGCCUUACACAAGGGGAUAGCCUUUGGAAACGAAGAAUAAUACCCUACAACGUCAAUUUAUCGCAUGAUAGAAUGACCAAAGAUUUAUCGGUGUAAGAUGGACUUGCGUCUGAUUAGCUAGUUGGUGAGAUAAAGGCCCACCAAGGCAACGAUCAGUAGCCGGCUUGAGAGAGUGUACGGCCACAUUGGGACUGAGACACGGCCCAAACUCCUACGGGAGGCAGCAGUGGGGAAUUUUGCACAAUGGGGGAAACCCUGAUGCAGCGACGCCGCGUGAUUUAGAAGGCCUUCGGGUUGUAAAAAUCUUUUUUAUGGGAUGAAAAUGACAGUACCAUAAGAAUAAGGUCCGGCUAAAUACGUGCCAGCCGCCGCGGUAA